rnacentral:rRNA from 1 species
AAUUCCGGAUAACGCUUGCCACCUACGUAUUACCGCGGCUGCUGGCACGUAGUUAGCCGUGGCUUUCUGAUUAGGUACCGUCAAGACGUGCACAGUUACUUACACGUUUGUUCUUCCCUAAUAACAGAGUUUUACGAUCCGAAGACCUUCAUCACUCACGCGGCGUUGCUCCGUCAGGCUUUCGCCCAUUGCGGAAGAUUCCCUACUGCUGCCUCCCGUAGGAGUCUGGACCGUGUCUCAGUUCCAGUGUGGCCGAUCACCCUCUCAGGUCGGCUACGUAUCGUUGCCUUGGUAAGCCGUUACCUUACCAACUAGCUAAUACGGCGCAGGUCCAUCUAUAAGUGAUAGCAAAGCCAUCUUUUACUAUCGAACCAUGCGGUUCGAAAUAUUAUCCGGUAUUAGCUCCGGUUUCCCGAAGUUAUCCCAGUCUUAUAGGUAGGUUACCUACGUGUUACUCACCCRUCCGCCGCUAACGUCAAAGGAGCAAGCUCCUCGUCUGUUCGCUCGACUUGCAUGUAUUAGGCACGCCGCCAGCGUUCAUCCUGAGCCAGGAUCAAACUCU